CACUACAGCCUCCAGAUCUUCAAUUAUUGUUUUGAUAUUUUCUUUUUCCUGUGAUUCUUGAAUGGUAUCGGGCCUUGAGUCCACAUCUAUCUGCCCUUGUUCAGUUGAGGUUUGUGUUGUGGUGCUCUCAACUAGCUUCUGUGAUUGCUAUUUUUCUUCGUUUUUCGUACUUGAAUCUGCUAUAGAGUUAAUAUUCCUAGAUGAAUGAUGAUCUCCACAGAUUUGAAAUAUUCCCCAUGGUGAUGAAAAUUUAAUAAUUUGAUGUAAUCUUGAAGGAACAACAUCCAUUUCGUGGAUCCAUGGUCUCCUAAGGAUCAUAUUGUAAGCCAUCUCCAUAUCUACUACCUGGAACUUUGUAACUUUGACAAUUCCUUCUGCGAAUGUAUUGAGUAUUACCUCUCCUUUCGUGACA
rnacentral:lncRNA from 1 species